rnacentral:rRNA from 1 species
UUGAGCAUCAGACACUUUUAAUUGAAGAGUUUGAUCAUGGCUCAGAUUGAACGCUGGCGGCAGGCCUAACACAUGCAAGUCGGGCGGUAACAGGGAGAAGCUUGCUUCUCC